rnacentral:rRNA from 1 species
UACGUAGGCAGCGAGCGUUGUUCGGAGUUACUGGGCGUAAAGGGUGUGUAGGCGGUUGUUUAAGUUUGGUGUGAAAUCUCCCGGCUCAACUGGGAGGGUGCGCCGAAUACUGAAUGACUAGAGUGCGGGAGAGGUGAGUGGAAUUCCUGGUGUAGCGGUGAAAUGCGUAGAUAUCAGGAGGAACACCGGUGGUGUAGACGGCUCACUGGACCGUAACUGACGCUGAGACACGAAAGCCAGGGGAGCGAACGGG